rnacentral:rRNA from 1 species
UACGGAGGGUGCAAGCGUUACUCGGAAUCACUGGGCGUAAAGCGCGCGCAGGCGGUUAGGAAAGUCAGAAGUGAAAUCCUACGGCUCAACCGUAGAACUGCUUCUGAAACUCUCUAACUAGAGUGUGGGAGAGGUGAGUGGAAUUAGUGGUGUAGGGGUAAAAUCCGCAGAGAUCACUAGGAAUACCAAAAGCGAAGGCAACUCACUGGAACAUUACUGACGCUGAGGCGCGAAAGCGUGGGGAGCAAACAGGAUUAGAUACCCUGGUAGUCCACGCCCUAAACGAUGAAUGCUAGUCGUUGGUAUGCUAGUCAUAUCAGUGAUGCAGUUAACACAUUAAGCAUUCCGCCUGGGGAGUACGGUCGCAAGAUUAAAACUCAAAGGAAUAGACGGGGACCCGCACAAGUGGUGGAGCAUGUGGUUUAAUUCGAAGAUACGCGAAGAACCUUACCUGGCCUUGACAUCCCAAGAACCCUUUAGAGAUAGAGGGGUGCCUACUUUGUAGGAGCUUGGUGACAGGUGCUGCACGGCUGUCGUCAGCUCGUGUCGUGAGAUGUUGGGUUAAGUCCCGCAACGAGCGCAACCCUCGUGUUUAGUUGCUAACAGUUCGGCUGAGCACUCUAGACAGACUGCCUCCGCAAGGAGGAGGAAGGUGAGGACGACGUCAAGUCAUCAUGGUCCUUACGGCCAGGGCGACACACGUGCUUACAAUGGGUAGGACAAUGAGAGGCAAUACCGCGAGGUGGAGCAAAUCUAUAAACCUACUCUCAGUUCGGAUUGUAGUCUGCAACUCGACUACAUGAAGCUGGAAUCACUAGUAAUCGU